rnacentral:rRNA from 1 species
UAGGGAAUCUUCGGCAAUGGACGAAAGUCUGACCGAGCAACGCCGCGUGAGUGAAGAAGGUUUUCGGAUCGUAAAACUCUGUUGUUAGAGAAGAACGUUGCAUAGAGUGGAAAAUUAUGCAAGUGACGGUAUCUAACCAGAAAGGGACGGCUAACUACGUGCCAGCAGCCGCGGUAAUACGUAGGUCCCGAGCGUUGUCCGGGUUUAUUGGGCGUAAAGCGAGCGCAGGUGGUUUAAUAAGUCUGAUGUAAAAGGCAGUGGCUCAACCAUUGUGUGCAUUGGAAACUGUUAGACUUGAGUGCAGUAGAGGAGAGUGGAAUUCCAUGUGUAGCGGUGAAAUGCGUAGAUAUAUGGAGGAACACCGGUGGCGAAAGCGGCUCUCUGGACUGUCACUGACACUGAGGCUCGAAAGCGUGGGUAGCAAACAGGAUUAGAUACCCUGGUAGUCCACGCCGUAAACGAUGAGUGCUAGUUGUU